rnacentral:rRNA from 1 species
GACGAACGCUGGCGGCGUGCCUAACACAUGCAAGUCGAACGGAACUGUUUUGACAGAUUUCUUCGGAAUGCAUUUGAUUUAGUUUAGUGGCGGACGGGUGAGUAACGCGUGAGUAACCUGCCUUCAAGAGGGGAAUAACAUUCUGAAAAGAAUGCUAAUACCGCAUGACAUAUCGGAACCACAUGGUUUUGAUAUCAAAGAUUUUAUCGCUUGAAGAUGGACUCGCGUCCGAUUAGUUAGUUGGUGAGGUAACGGCUCACCAAGACCGCGAUCGGUAGCCGGACUGAGAGGUUGAACGGCCACAUUGGGACUGAGACACGGCCCAGACUCCUACGGGAGGCAGCAGUGGGGGAUAUUGCGCAAUGGGGGCAACCCUGACGCAGCAACGCCGCGUGAAGGAUGAAGGUUUUCGGAUUGUAAACUUCUUUUAUUAAGGACGAAAAAUGACGGUACUUAAUGAAUAAGCUCCGGCUAACUACGUG